rnacentral:tRNA from 1 species
UGGGGGAUCGUCUAGUGGUAGGACACCAGACUCUGGAUCUGGGCGCGAGGGUUCGAAUCCUUCUCCCCCAGCCA